GGGAUGACUCUUUCCACAGGAGUAUCCAUUCAAAUGAUACCUCUUCCAGUCAACAGAUUUCAACACAUGGAAAUCUGAGACCAGCAUUUUUAUAUUUAUGACAUGGAAAAGCUCAUUGGAAGUGGUCCCAACAUCUCCUCAAUGUGUGUCCCAUCAAGUUCUGAUGUAUGCAGCAGACCUGAUAAGAGAUGAGAAAUGCCACUCCUGGGAUCUCCAUGGGUUAUUUUUAUGCACAACUGUUCAAUGACAGCCAGUCGCAGAGGCUGGAAAGCAGUUUUAUUGUUCUGGUGGGGCAGCUGCUAUUCCUCAUCCACCAGCAGAGUAGAAAG
rnacentral:lncRNA from 1 species